GAUGAACGCUAGCGGCAGGCUUAAUACAUGCAAGUCGAGGGGCAGCAUGACUGUAGCAAUACAGUUGAUGGCGACCGGCAAACGGGUGCGGAACACGUACAGAACCUUCCUUCGAGCGGGGAAUAGCCCAGAGAAAUUUGGAUUAAUACCCCAUAGUACAACGGAGUGGCAUCACUUUGUUGUUAAAGAUUUAUCACUUGAAGAUGGCUGUGCGGCUGAUUAGGUAGUUGGCGGGGUAACGGCCCACCAAGCCUGCGAUCAGUAACUGGUGUGAGAGCACGACCAGUCACACGGGCACUGAGACACGGGCCCGACUCCUACGGGAGGCAGCAGUAAGGAAUAUUGGUCAAUGGACGAAAGUCUGAACCAGCCAUGCCGCGUGGAGGAUGAAGGUCCUCUGGAUUGUAAACUUCUUUUAUAUGGGACGAAAAAAGGGUUUUCUAACUCGUCUGACGGUACCAUAUGAAUAAGCACCGGCUAACUCCGUGCCAGCAGCCGCAGUAACAC
rnacentral:rRNA from 1 species